GUUUUGUUUUACCCUUCACGAUAAAACUUCAAUUUGCCGUUUUUUUGUUUCCUCUUAACAUACCCCACGUUUCACAGCUUCAUGCCAAGAGUUAGCUCUUCAUAGGGAUAAUGGGUUGAUUUUAGGGUUAGAAUUUGCAGAAUGUGGGAUUCUUUUAAUCCCAAGAAAAACGGAGAAUUGAUUGGCUUGGAUAUGAUAUUUAUUGACAAAAAGGUGUAUGUGGAGCCCAAUAUACCUACAUUUGAUCUCGCUAUUACAGGACGCAUGAAUUGAUCUUUAGGGCUACAUAAUACACAAAUGCAAUUCAUAUGUGGUCAGCUGGUUGAAUUUUCGCUGAGAUCUAAAUUCAAGAAAGACACCAUACAAGGAAGAUGGGAAGAUGAUUCAAAAUAACACAAAACAUAACACAACCACGAAGAGGAGCAGUUUUUAAAC